AACGAUUGCGACGGCGAUGGCA
rnacentral:siRNA from 1 species